ACUAUCUAGCGAACCCACAGCCAAGGGGAACGGGCUUGGCAGAAUCAGCGGGGAAAGAAGACCCUGUUGAGCUUGACUCUAGUCCGACUUUGUGAAAUGUCUUUGGAGGUGUAGCAUAAGUGGGAGGGUUAAUAGCCCAAUCUUGAAAUACCACUACUCUGAACGAUAUUUUACUUAUAUGAUUAAAUAGAAGGAAAGGUUGAAUAAACCUGGAUUUCUAGUAUUAACUUACCAUUAGGUAAGGAUCUAUUUCAUAGACAUAGUCAGGUGGGGAGUUUGGCUGGGGCGGCACAUCUGUUAAAUGAUAACGCAGGUGUCCUAAGAUGAGCUCAAUGAGAACAGAAAUCUCAUGUAGAAUAAAAGGGUAAAAGCUCAUUUGAUUUUGAUUUUCAGUAUUAAUUCAAACCGUGAAAGCGUGGCCUAUCGAUCCUUUAGAUUUUUCCAUUUUAGAUUUAAAGCUAGAGGUGUCAGAAAAGUUACCACAGGGAUAACUGGCUUGUGGCUGCCAAGCGUUCAUAGCGACGUAGC
rnacentral:rRNA from 1 species